CCCAAGCAGCACACUUUGUUACAACUAAAUCACGCUGUGCAACCGAAAAAGCGCAGGAGGUGGAGCCUUUGUGCAACAUGUGGUUCGUUGCAUAAGAGAUUAGAUGGUAACCAAUGUGUAAUGUAGUUUGUUUACACUGCGAUAGAAAAAUAAACUCAAAGUUACAUUGUUGGUUUCGACAUAACAAUUAUGAAAAAUGAUGAUGAUGGACCUACCAUGCAUGGCAAUGGCGAUUGAAUAAAGUGCCUCUCAAAUAAAAUGGAAAUGUUUUUGGUCGGUAUCCUAAAU